AGAAUCAACGCUGGCGGCGUGCCUAACACAUGCAAGUCGAACGAGAAAGUGGAGCAAUCCAUGAGUAAAGUGGCGCACGGGUGAGUAACACGUGACUAACCUACCCUUGAGUGGGGGAUAACCUAGGGAAACCUGGGCUAAUACCGCAUAAUACCUUCGGGUCAAAGGAGCAAUUCGCUUUAGGAGGGGGUCGCGGCCGAUUAGUUAGUUGGCGGGGUAAUGGCCCACCAAGACGAUGAUCGGUAUCCGGCCUGAGAGGGCGCACGGACACACUGGAACUGAAACACGGUCCAGACUCCUACGGGAGGCAGCAGUGGGGAAUUUUGCGCAAUGGGGGAAACCCUGACGCAGCAACGCCGCGUGGAGGAUGAAGUCCCUUGGGACGUAAACUCCUUUCGAUCGGGACGAUUAUGACGGUACCGGAAGAAGAAGCCCCGGCUAACUUCGCGCCAGCAGCCGC
rnacentral:rRNA from 1 species